UAGUGCCAUCUAGUGGUGGUAGUCAGAGUUAGUCAGGUUAUCGGUGAUGGUGUUAUACUGAAGGUCAGCACAGUGACCAACCUCAAGUGCAGUAAAGGUCAGUUGAAUUUCAGUGGUCGUACAGGAGAGAUAUGUUGCUCCUCAGGACUCCUACACCACCCCUUCCGCCGGCUUUACCGCUUCUUCAUCUUUUAAUACGCCUAAAUAACUUUCAGGUGUGGUAACUGAGAAGUGCUGUGCCAGGCUGUGUCUGCUGCAACAUUGAUCAACACAGCAACUGACCAGUCUGAGGGGUGGAGACAACCACACUAGUAAAUGGUUGAAGAUAUUCUCGGUGUCGUGGGCAGCUGCUGUGUGGUGAAGUCCGUGUCGUGGGCAGCUGCUGUGUGGUGAAGUCCGUGUCGUGGGCAGCUGCUGUGUGGUGAAGUCCGUGUCGUGGGCAGCUGCUGUGUGGUGAAGUCCGUGUCGUGGGCAGCUGCUGUGUGGUGAAGUCCGUGUCGUGGGCAGCUGCUGUGUGGUGAAGUCCGUGUCGUG